AUGGCUCAGAGCGAACGCUGGCGGCGAUGCUUAACACAUGCAAGUCGCACGGUCAGCAAUGGCAGUGGCGGACGGGUGAGGUAACACGUAGGGAAUCUAUCCCAAGGUGGGGGGACAACAAGCGGGAAACUGCUGCUAAUACCGCAUGAUACCUGAGGGUCAAAGGCGCAAGUCGCCUUGGGAGGAGCCUGCGUCUGAUUAGCUUGUUGGUGGGUAAAGGCCUACCAAGGCGACGAUCAGUAGCUGGUCUGAGAGGAUGAUCAGCCACAUUGGGACUGAGACACGGCCCAAACUCCUACGGGAGGCAGCAGUGGGGAAUAUUGGACAAUGGGGGAAACCCUGAUCCAGCCAAUGCCGCGUGUGUGAAGAAGGUCUUCGGAUUGUAAAGCACUUUUGGCAGGGACGAUGAUGACGGUACCUGCAGAAUAAGCCCCGGCUAACUUCGUGCCAGCAGCCGC
rnacentral:rRNA from 1 species